GCAAGUCGAACGCUGAAGCCUAGCUUGUUGGGUGGAUGAGUGGCGAACGGGUGAGUAACACGUGAGUAACCUGCCCCCUUCUUUGGGAUAACGCCCGGAAACGGGUGCUAAUACUGGAUAUUCACUGGCCUUCGCAUGGGGGUUGGUGGAAAGGUUUGUUCUGGUGGGGGAUGGGCUCGCGGCCUAUCAGCUUGUUGGUGGGGUGAUGGCCUACCAAGGCUUUGACGGGUAGCCGGCCUGAGAGGGUGACCGGUCACAUUGGGACUGAAAUACGGCCCAAACUCCUACGGGAGGCAGCAGUGGGGAAUAUUGCACAAUGGGCGGAAGCCUGAUGCAGCGACGCCGCGUGAGGGAUGGAGGCCUUCGGGUUGUAAACCUCUUUCGCUCAUGGUCAAGCCGCAACUGUGGGUUGUGGUGAGGGUAGUGGGUAAAGAAGCGCCGGCUAACUACGUGCCAGCAGCCGCGGUAAUACGUAGGGCGCGAGCGUUGUCCGGAAUUAUUGGGCGUAAAGGGCUUGUAGGCGGUUGGUCGCGUCUGCCGUGAAAUCCUCUGGCUUAACUGGGGGCGUGCGGUGGGUACGGGCUGACUUGAGUGCGGUAGGGGAGACUGGAACUCCUGGUGUAGCGGUGGAAUGCGCAGAUAUCAGGAAGAACACCGGUGGCGAAGGCGGGUCUCUGGGCCGUUACUGACGCUGAGGAGCGAAAGCGUGGGGAGCGAACAGGAUUAGAUACCCUGGUAGUCCACGCUGUAAACGUUGGGCACUAGGUGUGGGGGCCACCCGUGGUUUCUGCGCCGUAGCUAACGCUUUAAGUGCCCCGCCUGGGGAGUACGGCCGCAAGGCUAAAACUCAAAGGAAUUGACGGGGGCCCGCACGGCGACAU
rnacentral:rRNA from 1 species